GGCGCUCAGAACGUGACAGUCGUCUGUAUUAAUAGUAACUGGAGGCAUUGUGGAAGGGGGGAGUCCAGGCCCCAGGGGAGAAGCAGCAGAUCCCUGGAGAAGUAGAGGGUGAGGCCCCUGAAAGAGGAUUUGGGUGGGCCAGGGUCAGGGACAGAUUUCUUGGCUACCCUAUGCCCUCCUUUCUCCUGCCCCCACCCCAUGUGUGAGCAGGGAGUAUUCAGGACAGGCUUCCUGGAGGAGGUGACAUCUGAACCCUGAGAGGUGAAUGGAUGGUGGCAUUAAGUGGAGUCAGAGUCCAGAGGGCAGACCCAGGUGGAAGAUGCUGUACUAUCUGAAGAUGAAGAAAGGGGCCAUGAGCCAAGGAACGCAGAUGCUUCUAGAAGCCGGAAACACCUUCUCCCCAGGAGCUUCCAGAAGGAAAAUGUGGCCCUGUGGACACCUGGAUUUCAGCCCAGUGAGACCCGUUUUGGACUUCUGACCUCCAGAACUGUCAGAUAACUGUGUGUUCUUUUAAGCCACCAAGUGAGUGCUGACUCGUCACGGCAGCGAUAGGAGACUCAGACCCCCAGCCUCCUGCCCAGAGUCCUGCUUGUGCUCUCAGAACCAACACCCCCCCACACACACACACACAUCUGGACUCAGUUUCCAAAUCAGCAGUCUGGGGCCCCAUCCAGGUCAGACCCACAACCCCUGCAGCAUGCACCCUAUCACCCACCCCUCCAGACCUCUGGGGCCCCUCUGGGGGUCUCCAGGGCUGCUGCUCCCUUGUUCCAGCAGGGUGGGGACUGAAAUCCCACAAGUCUGUCUGUCACUGCCUCUCUGUGUCUGGCUGUCCUCCCUGGCCUAGCCUUUGCCAAACAAGACCUCUGUCCUCAGUGGGGGGCUCCUCUCCCCAAAGGCAGGAGCCCCCAGUUCAGACA